rnacentral:rRNA from 1 species
AUUGAACGCUGGCGGCAGGCUUAACACAUGCAAGUCGAACGAGUGGCGGACGGGUGAGUAAUGCCUGGGAAACUACCUGAUGGAGGGGGAUAACUACUGGAAACGGUAGCUAAUACCGCAUACCAUCGGAUGUGCCCACAUGGGAUAAGGUAGUUGGUGAGGUAACGGCUCACCAAGGCGACGAUCACUAGCUGGUCUGAGAGGAUGACCAGCCACACUGGGACUGAGACACGGCCCAGACUCCUACGGGAGGCAGCAGUGGGGAAUAUUGCACAAUGGGGGCAAGCCUGAUGCAGCCAUGCCGCGUGAAUGAAGAAGGCCUUCGGGUUGUAAAGUUCUUUCGGCGGGGAGGCGUUACCCACAGAAGAAGCACCGGCUAACUCCGUGCAAGCAGCCGCGGUAAUAC